GGAUGUUCUCAGGUUUGAUGUCUCUGUGGACCAGCUUCUUACAGUGCAGGUAGUCCAGGGCGAUGGCCACCUGAUGGACGCAACGCUUGGCCACAGCCUCAGGAAGUCCCACCUGAACUCAGAGAAGAACAGUGAGAUGUGUGUGUCAGCCCAUCUCACCUGUGGGGGGAUGAUGUCAAACAGAUCUCCCGCCAGAGCGUACUCCUGAGCGAAGAUGUAGUACUCGUCGGUUUCAAAGGCGAUGCCGUACAUGUUGAUGAUGAAAGGACAGGGCGACAAGUAAAGGGAGAUGCUGUACUCUCUCAGGAAGCUCUUCAGCUUGGUGGUCUUCUUCCUCAGAAAUUUCAAGGCCAUUUUUGUGCCUGAAAAAGAGGACAGAAGGGUUACAUAACUCCAGUCUCAUUCCUCGCUUCUUGUUCCUUUUGACCACAUUAAACUGUUUGGGGAUUUAUUUCACUGCCUCCUAAUUGAGUGCAUGAAGCUUAAUUAAAAGAAUUUCAAAUGUUGAUGAAUAAUUAAAAUCUUCAGUUUUAGUGAAUUAAAUCCUGGUUUCUUUCUUCCCCAGGAGAUUUAAACUGCAAUUUUCAAAUACUCUGCUGGACUUGUCAUGUUGCCUCAGUGACCACGAUGUUGCCUCAUCUGCUUUCAUGCUGGAGAUUUUAACAGGAAAGUUAAAUACAGAUAAUCUGUAAAACUCAAGAUGAUGGAGCAAGGUCAGGUGUGUGUGGAAAGAAGACGUCUUGUGACCAUAACUAUAAGGACGUUGCGGACUCGAAUUCAUCACCAGCAUUUGGUCUGCUGGCUUUCAGCUUUCAUCAGUACUGCCAUUUUUCCUGAAAUGUUACCAGGCUUUUCUGAAUCUCAGUCCCUCGGCUUUCGUGGUCUGGAGGGAACACACAAAGUCAGUUUGUGAGGACACGGCAGCUACUGUCAGCAACAAGAAAAGCAGCGAGGGAGAGAAAUUAGCAGGCCUAAUCUCCAAUACCCUGGACAAUAACGCCAUGUCUGCCUCUGCACUGUCAGUGUGUCAGCAGAGACGGGAGAAGACGCUUCUCCAAUAGCAUCGGCUCAGCUCUGCUAAGGGCUUUGUGCUUUUUACAAUGCGCAGCCACUUUAGGAAAGGUCAAGAGGAAGCUUUGUGUUGGCUCUAAAUGCCACUGUACAAGAGGAGUUUCCCUCAUGUUGACAGGACAUAAAUAAUAUUGUGAGUGACAUAUAUAUAUAUAUAUCACAUCACUAUUAUCCUCUGUCUUGCUCUGUAUCAUCCUUCAGUUCCCAUAAUGCUUUAGGGGGUUCAGUGAGUUCAAGUGAGCCAACUUACUUUUUUUUUUUCCUUUCUUUAAAUCCUGUAUUUGUUUACCCUGCGGAACAGUUUGUACCAUGGGAAGUAUGUUAGGCUGUUCCUGUUUGCAGUGUACCCACAGUACAGACAACCAUCAGUGGAUUAACACUGGAGACAAGAACAUGAUGAUUCUGACUCACGUUCGUGACGAGCAUUUCUUUUUCUGCGAUUUCUGAGUCGAUUUCUGGUCAUUAUUUACAAGGGACAUUCAGAGGCAGUGAUUACCGAGUUGUGGCUUCCUGUUUUCAGCAGCACACUGGCUUGAUAUGUCGAUGCAGUGAGAACAUCAGUCCACAUUAGAGAAACAUCUUCUAGAGUGCACUAGCUGCUAGGGCUGAUUAAUGCAAUGUAAAAUGGGAAACACAGGCUUAAUCUGAUAAAGAUGACUGGCAUGAUAUCAUUAUUUUGCCUAGUAUUAUGGAACAGAAUUUUUUUUAUCCAUAUUUUAUGUGGAUUUAUUAGUCCAGUAAAACUUAAGCUAUUUAAGUUCAUGUAUAUUACAUUAUUCUUUCUUUAUAGACAGAUACUUUAUUGAUCGUAAGGAAAAUUCAGUCAAUUUUUUAUGGCCGAAAGCAGGAAAGAAGUCACAGCUUUUUAUGUGACUGACUGUUAAAUGAUAUUGCAUCAUAUUGAUCGCAGGCCGCUGAAUUAAACCAAUCACAUGAUGGUAGACUUUAACUGGUGAUUUACAUGCACCACCUCCCCCCCAGAAAGGCAAGCAUGUCAGUCUCAAAGUGAGUGUUUUAAAUCAUUAAGGGGGAAUUCAGCGUCCAGCCAGUGAACACGAUGCUGCACUGCAGGUCUGCAUCCUCGUCUCCAACAACAAGCCUUUUCUGAACCAAACAUCAGAUUAACGAUUAUCGUUUACUUUUUGAUUGUGUAUCCUUAUCGAUUAACGUCUCUCUCAUUUUCUUGAUUUAAUGUCUGAUCUCCAGAAGGUCUGAAAAUUUGUGCAUCACAGAGGACAAGUGAGAAGGCAGAAGUUGUGUCUGACAUGACUGCUUAAAAGGUGAUAAACAGUAUAAAAAUAAUUCUGACUAGAUAUCUCCAUCACCUGCAUGGCCUCUCUUCAGUUACUAAUGAAACAGAAAUGGCAAAAAUAAAUAAAAUAUUGAGAAGAAAGCAUCUGUCGUCCCAUCUGUUCAGGGGAACUCUGAGUGUUUCAGGGCAGAAACUGAAGAUGACCUACAUUUGUAAAAACUGGUCUGCCCCACUGACCCAUAAUGUUACUGGACUGGCCAGCCAGAAGUUCAACUACGUCUUCGGGUUUAAUUUUUUCACCUUUUAUUGAUCUUAAUAAUAAAAACAGGCCUAUUUAAAUGUUUUUCAUUACUGAUUCAACUUCUGCUUAUUGUCACAAUCAUGUAGAAGUAGUAAUUGCCUGAAAACUAAGUGUUUUCCCAUGAUCUCACUUUAUUCAUACAUGUGAGGGAUUUGCUUUAUUUUUUUGUGUACUCGAAGUAAAUUUUCCUCAUUCUAUACAUAAUUUUGGUUAGGUAACAUUUUCGUUGCAGGACAUUUACUUAGAAGUGGAUUAUUGCACUGUGGUAUUAAUACUUUAACACAGGGUCUGAAUACUUUAAAGCUUCGUGCCUCAGCAGAUCCAGUCUGACACUCAUCUGCACAGACAUAAUACUAAACACUUGAGCACACUAUGUAAUAUACAAAA